AUGGCAGCACCUGUGGAAAGAAAAAUGAAUUACGACAAAUUUAAAGUGAAGAAAAAGACAGAGGUGAAACCAGCGAGGGAGGAGAGUCCAGUCCUGCAACCUGAAGCAGGAACAUCAGGCUUUGGGGUUCCCCCAGCACCGAAGAAUGUGAAGAUCACAGAGCAGGAUAUUCUGGGCUACCUCCCCGAGACUCAUGCCCAUUACAGGCCUUGGAGGUUCAACGAGGUGGAUAAGAAGCAAGUGCAUGACCCAACAAAGAUUGGCUUCAAGUCCAAUACCCGCACACAGGUGUACUCAGGCAGAAAACACACCACUACAACAAUGAAGCCUCUCUUUGACAUCUGUAUGCAAGUUCUUAUAGAUAACAUUGACUCUAUUGACUAUGUGGGUGGUAUCCCUGCUGACAUCUUGAUGCCGGUCCUGAAGAGAUGCACUGCCACACAGCUGUACAACCUGGAGGAUUGUAACCCUCACUUCCUCGAGGACACAGAUGAACUCUGGCACCGGCACUGUGAGAGAGACUUCCGGAAGCAGGAGCCGGAGGAGAUGGAGACUUGGCGAGAGAUGUACUUGCGCCUGCUUGAUGAAAGGGAAGCCAAGUACGAGAGACUGAAGGGACGCAUGUCGAAAACUGUCAAGAACCUGGACACAACAGCCAAGAAGGUGAAGCUGGCAUAUGUGGACAGCGUGGUGGCGAAGCCGCCCCGGGAGGUCAAGCGCAUGCAGCAGAAGUAUGGGACUGCCACCAUCUCCAAGGCUCCAAACAAGGGCAACGUUGAUAUGUGCUGGUCCCGCUCUAAAACUCCUGCGGCUACUCGGCCCAUCCCCCCUCCAAAACCGAUGAGGAGAGUGGCGCCAAUGAUGCAGAAGACAAUGAAGAUGAUCAAGAAGCUGACCAGAUAGUACAACCCUCACUUAGACUGGCAGCAGAUGCACCUGGAUUCACAGUACUGUCAGAUGGCGUAUGUUCCUGACAGAUCUCCUUGUGGGAAGUCUGGACACCAGGCUGGACACCUGACUGGACACCU
rnacentral:misc_RNA from 1 species